GCAUUUUGCAGCAAAGAUUGCCUGAAUAUGCAAUAUAGACAUGAGAUAUACAAGGAAGAAUUAUCUUAAUAACUUAACAGAAUCCGUGAAUGAGGUGUAUCUUUUCAUUGAAUUAUUAUCUUUUGCAAGAAACACAUAAACAGCAACUGUAGUUUGACUGGGUAUUUGGGUCCACUAAAAUCCCAAACGAAAACAAGAGGUUACUACCAAUCAAAUUUACACUGUA
rnacentral:misc_RNA from 1 species